rnacentral:tRNA from 1 species
CAAAUUAGAACUUGAAAGAAAGUAUUUUAUUUACAUUAAAAAAUUAAUUGUGAAAUUCAAUUUAAUUUGA